rnacentral:tRNA from 1 species
GCCUGGAUAGCUCAGUUGGUUAGAGCAUGGUGCUGAUAAUGCCAGGGUUGCAAGUUUGAUCCCUGUAUGGGACA